AGGUUUCUUGGACUCAUCAAGCGGCUGCCAGAAACGAAGUGGCAGCAACGACAGCUCAGCUGAACUGGCCGCACGACACGUGAUGGUGACAGUGCCGAUAUUCUGGCCCCGACGCACGUGGUGGCGAUGGGACUUUCCAGUGCCAUUCUUCUUCCUUGCAAAGGCGACAGCGGCUACUCCGUGGAACCAUGGCGCCUGACUCCGGUCUCAGGCCACCUUCCCACGCACAUUGCAGCAGCUGCUGAGUGGAAUGGCCUUCCGGGCGACACCGCUUCCAUCUCUCGUCCAUCCACCUUCAUAGAAAGCGUCACCAAUCACCUCUCACCAUAGAUUAACACAUGGUUUCUGCUUAUUUCUGUGUAACC